rnacentral:misc_RNA from 1 species
UCUCCGUUGGUGAACCAGCGGAGGGAUCAUUAUCGAGUUUAUAACUCCCAAACCCUAUGUGAACUUACCACUUGUUGCUUCGGCGCGCGCUUCGGUGCCGCCGAGGACACUUAAACUCUUUGUUUUUAUAAGCAUUUCUGAGUGGCCGAAAGGCAAAAUACAAAUGAAUCAAAACUUUUAACAACGGAUCUCUUGGUUCUG